rnacentral:rRNA from 1 species
UACGUAGGGGGCUAGCGUUGUCCGGAAUCAUUUGGGCGUAAAGAGCGUGUAGGCGGUCCGGUAAGUCCGCUGUGAAAGUCGGGGGCUCAACCCUCGAAUGCCGGUGGAUACUGUCGGGCUAGAGUGCGGAAGAGGCGAGUGGAAUUUCCUGGUGUAGCGGUGAAAUGCGCAGAUAUCAGGAGGAACACCAAUGGCGAAGGCAGCUCGCUUGGGACGGUACUGACGCUGGAGACGCGAAAAGCGUGGGGGAGCAAACAGG